GGAUAAGAAAAGCUGUUCUGAGUGGAUCCUUGACCUUGUAGUCCACAGUACCUGAGAACAGAACCAAAUUUAACUGUGUGCAUCCCUUGAAGAACAGAUAAUCUUGGUGUUGUCUCCAUGAACAUUUGAAAUUCCAGAAAAGCCAUGAAGUGCAGAUUGGACAAUUACUACAUAGCUCUAGUUGAACAAGAAAGACAAACAGACUGAUAUCCAGAGAUGAGGGGCUGGAGCAGAGGAAAGACCAAGAUCUACACUCCAUCAAGUCUAUAAACCAGAAGCAAAUGUCAUUUCACAUUUGGGAGAAGAAAUGGAAAAAAUAUUGAAGUUUCUUUUUCUGUCUGCCCACUGAGACAUUUUCCCCUGAGAACAUGAAAUAUCCAAUUAAAAAAAGACCCAAACCCAAAUGAAGACCUGUUCCGAGAUGCUAUGGAGAAAGUAUG
ensembl:lncRNA